GUUCCAGAAUGCGUUCUAUUUUACUUCUGAAAGAGAGAACUGCUUACACGUCAACUGGCUUCGUCAUCUAUGAACCUUAAGUUUCGUUUCCUGUACCAGACGUCCUCUCCUCUCCUCCCCUAACACCUGUCUCCUCCCCUAACUCCUGGCUCCGCCCCCACGGACACAGUUUACUGACUUUUCAACUUCAACACACCGUGGGCGCAUUCAUGCACUGUGCUUCGACUUCAUAAAACCGCCGAGUCAUGUGACUCGGGGGUAGGGCAGGACCAGAGUGGUAGAUAUAACAGAGGGGCGACACUUCCAUUGUACUCCGUUGUAGCGCCUACUUCCGUGGCAUCGAGCCAAACAACCAUUUUACGGCGUAGGAGAUCAUUUCCAUUGCUGGCUGUCGAGUAACUUCUGAGACGACCGAUUGCCUGCUGGUUAGUGAGCUCGACUUCGCCAUGUGAAGGUAUCUGCACCAACAAUUACGAAGUUCAGUAGUGAAUCUAACUUUUAUUCAGUUAGUUAUGUUGGAUUACUAGGAUCAUUUAGGUUGAUUUAAGGACGGUUUUUAUGAUGCGAUAGCAAGAAGAAAUUACAGUGUUUGUUUAAUUAUAUCCUGGAAAGGGUAAUGUUCAGCACAUGAAGCCCUACAGAUGCCGCUGCUUCAACAAUGCUGAUUGGGCGGUGAAUUUAACCUGUAUGGCUUUUUCAUUUUAACUUCUUGUUGAUUGAAUUGUUUAUCUUUCUUGGUGCCAAAUUUAUUCUUUUUUGUUUUACAAGAGCCCUCUCUGCUCUCCUUCUCAUACAUUUUUCCUUUUCUAGUUGCCUUAUUAGGUCCUCCACAGUCGCCCCAUCAGUG